CUGACUCAUUAAAGAUACAAUUUUUACAUUAACAAAAACUAAUAAUAGUAAUAGUCAUACAAUUUUUAUUUGCUUACAUUUGAAAAUAUUAAUAUAUCUAACUAUAUUCAUUAUAAUUGGGGCUGCUAUUUAGAAAACUGGAGGAACUUAGCUCCCCCAAGCUCCCCUAGUUGCACCUAUGGUAUAAUAGUAAUACACAUCAAUUAGUUGGAUGUUUAAUAGAUAAUCAUUAAAAAUAAUUACAAACAAUUUGUAAGAUAUUUUUAACAGUGAGAAUGUGAAUGUAUUCCAUAGUAAAACGGUGCAACUACAGAAAUGCUAAUACAUACUUAUAUUUUCAGUGUAGUAAGACAUUUUCCACAGAUACAUUUUUUGAUGCGGACAUCCCCCCCCCCAUACUAAUAGAAAUUAGUUUAUAAAUUAUUUUGUACAUUAUAUAUUAGAUAACAUUUUGGUGCCAUAUUCGACAGUCUACUAUAUUUAUAUUUUAUAACGACCCGACAAAUUUCUCAGUGUAAUCGAAUUAUGAAUUACGAGGACGUGGAAAAUAAUUUUCGAAGCACGUCAAAAAGUCAUCCGACAUUUAACUAGGUACGUCGCGAGAAAUUUUUCGCUCUUUGGCUAUCAUAAUGUUGUCCCUUCCGUCAAAAGCAAAAUAUAUGGUGCCCAAUUUUAAUAUAUAAUUAAUGUAAUGAAUAAUAACAAUUGAAUUUGAUUGUUGAACUUCUGUAGGUUUCAAUAAAAAUUCAAUGAAACUUCCUACUUGUUUAUCA